rnacentral:rRNA from 1 species
AUUGAACGCUGGCGGCUGGCCUAACACAUGCACGUCGAACGGAGUGGCGGACGGGUGAGUAAUGUCUGUGAAACUGCCUGAUGGAGUGGGAUAACGUCCGGAAACGGGCGCUAAUACCGCAUACUACCAGCUGAUCCUAGGUCGGAUUAGCUAGUUGGUGGGGUAAAGGCCUACCAAGGCGACGAUCCGUAACUGGUCUGAGAGGAUGAUCAGUCACACUGGAACUGAGACACGGUCCAGACUCCUACGAGAGGCAGCAGUGGGGAAUAUUGGACAAUGGGCGAAAGCCUGAUCCAGCCAUGCCGCGUGUGUGAAGAAGGUCUUCGGAUUGUAAAGCACUUUAAGUUGGGAGGCGUUACCAACAGAAUAAGCACCGGCUAACUUCGUGCCAGCAGCCGCGGUAAUAC